rnacentral:rRNA from 1 species
GACGAACGCUGGCGGCGUGCUUAACACAUGCAAGUCGAACGGAAAGGCCUCAGCUUGCUGGGGUACUCGAGUGGCGAACGGGUGAGUAACACGUGGGUGAUCUGCCUUGCACUCUGGGAUAAGCUUGGGAAACUGGGUCUAAUACCGGAUAUGAACUGCCUUUAGUGUGGUGGUUGGAAAGUUUUUUCGGUGCAAGAUGAGCUCGCGGCCUAUCAGCUUGUUGGUGGGGUAAUGGCCUACCAAGGCGUCGACGGGUAGCCGGCCUGAGAGGGUGUACGGCCACAUUGGGACUGAGGUACGGCACAGACUCCUACGGGAGGCAGCAGUGGGGAAUAUUGCACAAUGGGCGGAAGCCUGAUGCAGCGACGCCGCGUGGGGGAUGACGGCCUUCGGGUUGUAAACUCCUUUCGACAGGGACGAAGCUUUUUGUGACGGUACCUGUAUAAGAAGCACCGGCUAACUACGUG